CGAAGGGGCUAGCGUUGCUCGGAAUCACUGGGCGUAAAGGGCGCGUAGGCGGCUGAUUUAGUCGAGGGUGAAAGCCCGUGGCUCAACCACGGAAUGGCCUUCGAUACUGGUUGGCUUGAGACCGGAAGAGGACAGCGGAACUGCGAGUGUAGAGGUGAAAUUCGUAGAUAUUCGCAAGAACACCAGUGGCGAAGGCGGCUGUCUGGUCCGGUUCUGACGCUGAGGCGCGAAAGCGUGGGGAGCAAACAGGAUU
rnacentral:rRNA from 1 species